ACAUGCAAGUCGAGCGGCAGCGGGAAAGUAGCUUGCUACUUUUGCCGGCGAGCGGCGGACGGGUGAGUAAUGCCUGGGAAAUUGCCCAGUCGAGGGGGAUAACAGUUGGAAACGACUGCUAAUACCGCAUACGCCCUACGGGGGAAAGCAGGGGACCUUCGGGCCUUGCGCGAUUGGAUAUGCCCAGGUGGGAUUAGCUAGUUGGUGAGGUAAUGGCUCACCAAGGCGACGAUCCCUAGCUGGUCUGAGAGGAUGAUCAGCCACACUGGAACUGAGACACGGUCCAGACUCCUACGGGAGGCAGCAGUGGGGAAUAUUGCACAAUGGGGGAAACCCUGAUGCAGCCAUGCCGCGUGUGUGAAGAAGGCCUUCGGGUUGUAAAGCACUUUCAGCGAGGAGGAAAGGUCAGUAGCUAAUAUCUGCUGGCUGUGACGUUAC
rnacentral:rRNA from 1 species